CAAAGCCAGGGCACUAUGAUUUUGCCAUCUUGCUUGAACUUCUACCAUUGUUUUUUAUAUAUAAUUCAUCAAGCCACCCCAUCAGCUCACCUGGAAUUCGAUUACCUCCACUGGCUUUGUUCGUAGUAAUGCUUCCUGAGGUCCACUUAACUUCACUGUUCAGGAUAUCUGGCUCUAGGAAAGAACUGCACUCCCCCAACUUAAUUUUCUGAACUAAUGAAGUUCUCCAGGGAAGCCUGUGGGGAAACAUGAUCUCUUAUUUAAUGAUGUGCCGUCAACUCACUUAAUGCUGAUUUCUGCAUCACUCAGCUAAGGAUGACAUGCUGAUGAGAAGAAAAAGAAGCCUCACAGUCAAAUGAUGUGAUUCCAAUUACAAGGAUCCACUUAAGCCAGCUUUUGAUGUCCUGCCUGCUCCCAGGCUACCGGUUCAGGAAAUGCUGUGUGGUCUAUUCCCAUGAGGCACAUUCUGAGAUGGUCUUCUCAUCGG
ensembl:lncRNA